CAUAUCAAACCCAAUCUGAGUCGAACUGUAUUUAAUUCAAUUAGACUUGAUUCAAAACUCUUUACUUAAUCAAAUUGAGUCAUUAGUAAUCUAAUUACUAAUUAAUUCUCUAUUAAUAGUAGAGUCUCAAUCUCAGUGGGACUCUCCUCUAGAGUCUCAAUCCCAGUGAGACUCCUCAUUAGAGUCAUAAUUCAAUUGGACUCUUCAGCCAUC
rnacentral:lncRNA from 1 species